GCGAACUUGGCGGAAUGGUAGACGCAGGAGACUUAAAAUCUCCAGCCCGUAAGGGCGUGCGGGUUCGAGUCCCGCAGUUCGCA
rfam:Acetobacter indonesiensis 5H-1 DNA, contig: Abin_002.